UACGGGGGGGGCAAGCGUUGUUCGGAAUUACUGGGCGUAAAGGGCGCGUAGGCGGGAUGGCAAGUCAGUCGUGAAAUCUCUCGGCUCAACCGAGAAACGUCGGCUGAUACUGCCGUUCUUGAGGGAUGCAGAGGAGACUGGAAUUCCGGUGUAGCGGUGAAAUGUGUAGAGAUCGGGAGGAACACCGGUGGCGAAGGCGGCUCACUGGCCCGAUACUGACGCUGAGGCACGAAAGCGUGGGGAGCAAACAGGGA
rnacentral:rRNA from 1 species